rnacentral:lncRNA from 1 species
AUAUUAUAAUAUUGUAAUAAUAAUUCCUAUUAUAAUAAUACUAAUUAUUAUUAUUACUAUCUUAUUGAUUAUGUAACAAUUAUAGUGAUAUUGAUAAGAAUAACAAUACAAAAAUAAUAUAUUUUAGGGGGUUAGUUUCCGGCGAUUGUAUAAACGUCGAAAAUUUUCGGCGGUUUAACCCGCCCCUAAUUAUUUUAAUCUAAUUCCCAAAAUAUCUAUCUGUGCCUCAUUUCUUCUGCCAUAAUCAUUUCCUAAAUAUCACAAGCUUAUCCUCUCUGCCUUCAUCUUCAAACCUUCGCUCUCUGCCUUCGUCUUCAAACCUUUGCUCCCUGCCUUCGUCCUCAAACCUUCUUUCUCUGCCUUCGUCCUCAAAUCCUAUUUUCUCGCUCAUUGCCUUCGUUUCCUCGCUCCCUAAAACUUCACCAGAACCAUUUUCCCCCAAAUUUCCUGCACCAUCUUCGUGUUGUUCUUCCUUGCUUGGGCUGAGAAUUCAUGUUUUGUUUACGCCAACAACGACGCCAUCAGAACUAGAGAGUUGUUUGUUCAUCAUCCUCUUCUCUUAGCAUUUGUGCAUUGACUGUUUCAGUGCUACUAGCUCCCUCUCUCGCAGCUUCCAUUUGCAAUUCAGGUUCUCUUUGAUCGGUGAGCUUCUCCUUCUUCCUUUUCUCUCUAAUCCUAUUCACUUCCUUUUAAUUUAGAACAUGAUGUUACUUGCUCUCUCUUUGCAGGGCUUUUCUUGCUCCUCAGAUUCCCAAUUCCAAUCGCGUCUCGCUAGAUCAGAGGGGGAAUUUCGGAAAAUAUUCCAAUUCCGCGUUUGGUUCGGUGGGUCUUAGGGAUGAAUUAAUUGAAUCACCUCGUUUAUAGCUGUGAGUUUUAAUUUCUUCUUCUUCCUCGGACCUGCCUUUGCUUCUUUUUCUUUUUUCUGUUUCUUUCCUUUCUCAGUUGAUGAACUGGAGUGUGGAGCUGUAAUUUUGCUUUUUCCUGUUUCUUGUUUUAGCUGAGACUUCCUUUUCGAUUCUCUUGUCCCUGAAGUGAAAUUCAAGCUUCGAUGUGGGUUUUAUGUUGUUAUUGCUUUAUGUCUGCAUGUUGUGUGUUUCCGGAUUUCAAUUUUGUUGUUAUACGCUAUGUUGGUUGACAUGUUGAUCCAUGGUCGGCAUUACUCAGUAUUGUUCAUUUUUGGCUCAGCUCAGGUAUUGUUAUGGCUAAAGAUAUAUGCAACUUUUAGGAGUUCAGAUUUUCUACUGCUUUUUUGGUGCUAUUCUUACAUAUAUAGAAGCUCUUUCAUAUAUUUUUUCUAAAUUUUUAAUUUUAACAUGGCACAAGUUAAUUUUAAUUUAUGGAGAAACUCGUUUAAUUUUUUCUUUUUCUAAAAGUCCUAUGAAGAAACUUGUUACGUAUCAAUUAGGAAGUUAGUUGAUGUAGCUUCCACAUGGCACAUUGUUUUUUGUUGUUCUAGUAAAUUUAUAUGUAGCUUAUGUCC